rnacentral:rRNA from 1 species
UACGUAGGGAGCAAGCGUUGUUCGGAUUUACUGGGCGUAAAGGGCGCGUAGGCGGCGCGGUAAGUCACUUGUGAAAUCUCUGAGCUUAACUCAGAACGGCCAAGUGAUACUGCAGUGCUAGAGUGCAGAAAGGGCAAUCGGAAUUCUUGGUGUAGCGGUGAAAUGCGUAGAUAUCAAGAGGAACACCUGAGGCGAAGGCGGGUUGCUAGGCUGACACUGACGCUGAAGCGCGAAAGCCAGGGGAGCGAACGGG